GUUUCUUUUGCAGGAUUCACGAUGACUGGAGAUUUAAUCAAGACCUUGUACGCACUGGGCAUGGGCUUUUCUGUUGAGCUGCAUCCUAGCCCUUUUAUUUUGAUUUGUGAUAAAAAUUGCAACAUCUUGAUCCAGGUUGGUUUCCAACUCACUAUGUAGUCCAGGGCUGGUCUUGAAUUGGGGCUUAUGGUCACCAUACCCAGUCAUGGAUUUUUAAACCUGGAAGUGACUCAUAAAAGAAUAGGUUUGUUGGUGCUUUGAUAUUCAAGUGAUACUAAUAAGAAAUCUUCACAACGUACUGUGGAUUAUAUUCAUACCAGAAGUCUAUGUUAUUCUGAAGUCAGUGUAAUUCAAUUAAAAUAAGCUGCAUUCAGUUCAACUCUCCAUCAUUGAGCCCCCAUGGGAGGUGCUUAGAAAGACAAAUAACAUUUGCUUUUUACAAUUGCAGAUCCUAUAGCCUAACAGGAAGGGAAGGACCCAAAGCUGUUCAUGUGGUUACCCUGUGAUAGACAUGGAUUUCUGUUACAAUCUCUGAGUAAACAGAGAAUGUGAUGGUUUGAAUGUGCUCUGCCCAGGGAGUAGUGCAAUGAGAAGGUGUGGCCCUGUUAGAGUAGGUGUGUCCUGUGGGCUUGGGCUUCAAGACCCUUGUCCUAGCUGCCUGGAAGUCAGUAUUCUGCUAUCAGCCUUCAGAUGAAGAUGUAGAAUUCUCAUCUCCUACUGCACCAUGCCUGCUUAGACACUGCCAUACUCUUGCCUUGAUGAUAAUGGACUGAACCUCUGAGCCUGUAAGCCAGCCCCAAUUAAAUGUUGUCCUGACG
rnacentral:lncRNA from 1 species